GAGUGUUAGAUCUGGCCAAUCCUGACAAGAGUAUAGGCUGGAGAUAACAUUAAAGAGGACUAUGAUUAAUAAUCGUGUCAUAAAAGGCAACAAAAUGCGACCACUUGACAAUGGCUUGAUUUUGGCUUUUAAAUUCCAUUUGUUUUGCAGAAAAUAACGUUUAGAAUUUUAUUUUUUUCGAAUUUUCCAACGUUAGAUUAACAGAAAACGGAGUAGUCAAGGAAAACAUUUUUGAUCAAGGUAAAGAAUAAUUUUAAAACAGGGAAAAAUUACUUUGUCUUUCCAAAGGAAGGAAAAAAAUUUCUCUGUUCUCUUUCUCAUGCACCUCAUCGCUCCUUUACCUUUCUCUUCUCACCCACUUGCUCCUUUAUCUUUCUCCACCUUUAGGCUUCCUCCUUUCCGACAUGCUCCUCAUCUCUUUCAUGCUCCGGAGUUCGUCAUCCUCCUCCGUUUCUCUGCCUCUAGAGUUCCUCCUUCUCCCCUGCCUUACUGCUCCUCAUUUGUUGUGUCAAGCGCAAUUGAUUGAGCGAGGUUAAGUGUGUUGCAUCCAUUUCCGCAUUCUCUUUCCCUCUUCUUCAAGAAAUCCAGUUCCUGUUGCUUCUCCUGCUUAACAGGUGAUAAUGAAGGAGCCAUCAAGAAUAGCAACAGAAUCAAUAUUCUGGCCCUGCUCAAGCAUGUCAAGGAAAAGAGGGGAGUCAGAGGUUUACAUGGUGGCGACUCCAUAGAUCCCAAGCUGAUAUUGGUUCAAGAUUGCAACAUUCUCAGUCCCACCACCCUUGGUCAUGUCAUAACAGGUAUUUUUCAGUGCAAGAGACGCCAAGUAUGGCCUCUUUUAUUCCCAAAAGUAUGUGGAAUUCGCUGCAUACUCUGCCUUAAACAAAGAACGCCAUUCAAAUUAUCCUGUUUAGAAAAUCCCAGUCCCAUUAGUUUGCUAAUGUAAUGGUUUUGAACUUAUAUGGAUGUAUUUGAAUCAUAAUCGUUGAGCUUCUGCUUAAUAGAGCCUAGUUGAUCUGAUUGAAGGGAAAAUGAAAAUGACGUCAAGGCCAAGUUUAUCAUUGAAGCAGUUAACUAUUGACUGGCCCUGAGGACGAUGAGGUUAGUCACCGAUCAAGAACCAAUUAAACAUGAGGACAUGAUGUCAUUGACUCGAUUAUCAGCUUCUUUCGUACUAUUUACCAGAUCUUAUUGAAGAAAGGCUUCCCGACAUAUAUGCAAACUCGGGCAGAGUUACCGUCCAUCACUUUGAGUGGGUCCAAGUAUCACUUGUCGGAUUUUCAAGUUUGUUGCGCCGCAAGAUUAGUAGCUUACAAGUGGUCUCUCUUAUACUGUAUAUUCUGUAUAUUAUAAUAAGACAUAUUUAUACAUAUGUAUAUUAGUAUAUGGAACGUAAGAGGUCUCCAUGAUCCCCUAAGACAAGCACAAGUUAGGAACCUAGUAUCUUCUAAUGGGUUUUGUCUAAUUGGUAUAUUGGAAACCAAAAUUCCGAAUUCUCUUUUUGACUCUAUAUCUGCCGGGCUGUUACCGGGCUGGAAUUAAGUGGCAAACUGUGAGUUUUCUCACAAGGGUAGGAUUUGAGUUGGUUGGAAUCAUUCUUUGGUGGAUUUUGAAGUGAUUUCAUUCAAUAGCUAGACAAUUCAUGGUAGUUCGAAGUUUUUCAUGUCUGCUAUUUCCUGCUGUGUCUCAGUGGUAUAUGCUGAACAUACUUUUGUAGCUAGAAGGACAUUAUGGGCGGACAUUAUUCAGAGAAGUAUAUUAUGCCGAGAUGAUGCUUGGCUAGUAGCCGAAGACUUCAACGCUAUGAGGGAUCCCUUUGAUCGGAUUGGUAGCUCUGACAAUUGGCUUCAUUGCUUUGAUGAUUUCAAUCUUUGUUUGACCCAAGCUGAAUUAGAGGACCUAAGAUAUGUUGACUUUCGGUUCACUUGGUCUACUUCCUCGGGGGUUAAUCGCAAGGUUAGGAAAAUUGAUCGUGUUCUUGUGAAUGCUAAAUGGAGUCUUCACUUCUUGUAUUUGGAAGCAUCUUUCCUUGCACCUAGUAUCUCUGACCACUCUUCUAUGGUGGUUAGGGUUUGCAGCUGAUGGUCUCAAGGAAACCUUUCAAAUUUUUCGACUUUUGGACUAAACACCUAUCUUUCCAUAGCACUGUCUCUCAAGUCUGGGAGAGUCCGA